UGCUACACAUGCAGUCGACGAUGAAGCGAGCUUGCUCUGGUGGAUUAGUGGCGAACGGGUGAGUAACACGUGAGUAACCUGCCCUUGACUCUGGAAUAAGCGUUGGAAACGACGUCUAAUACCGGAUACGAGCUUCCGCCGCAUGGUGAGGAGCUGGAAAGAAUUUCGGUCAAGGAUGGACUCGCGGCCUAUCAGGUAGUUGGUGAGGUAAUGGCUCACCAAGCCUACGACGGGUAGCCGGCCUGAGAGGGUGACCGGCCACACUGGAACUGAGACACGGUCCAGACUCCUACGGGAGGCAGCAGUGGGGAAUAUUGCACAAUGGGCGCAAGCCUGAUGCAGCAACGCCGCGUGAGGGACGACGGCCUUCGGGUUGUAAACCUCUUUUAGUAGGGAAGAAGCGAAAGUGACGGUACCUGCNGAAAAAGCACCGGCUAACUACGUGCCAGCNGCCGCGGUAAUACGUAGGGUGCAGCGUUAUCCGGAAUUAUUGG
rnacentral:rRNA from 1 species